rnacentral:rRNA from 1 species
AUACGGAGGGUGCAAGCGUUACUCGGAAUCACUGGGCGUAAAGCGCGCGCAGGCGGCUUGAUAAGUUGGAUGUGAAAGCCUACGGCUCAACCGUAGAACUGCAUCCAAAACUGUCAGGCUAGAGUGUGGGAGAGGAAGAUGGAAUUAGUUGUGUAGGGGUAAAGUCCGUAGAGAUAACUAGGAAUACCAAAAGCGAAGGCAAUCUUCUGGAACACUACUGACGCUGAGGCGCGAAGGCGAGGGGAGCAAACAGGAUUAGAAACCCCGGUAGUCC